AUCGAGCCCUGGUAUCUGAGCUGCCUACAUAUCCUUGGCUAUAAAGGAAUCAGGCCACGUGUAGUUCAGAGGUGAGUGAGAUGAUGGAGUAUACCGAGGUGGAGAGCCGUCGAGGUGCCGUUCCGCCGAGGUUCCGGUCAGCGAUCCUGUUAUUACAUCAAAAUCACUAUAAGAAAAACUAAUUAAGCCUGUCAACUACAGGUUACAAGAUUCCUAUCUAUAUCUUCAAGCUUGAUCUUGUGAUUCCUGUUGCCUUGUUGACUUGUAUUCUCCAGGUGAAAUCCCUUUAUUGCUGACUUGAAUUGUAGUCUGAGAUGCUUUCCCUUUUCUUCAGACGGGCGCCUGAUUGCUGAACUUGAACCGUCUUCCUUUGAAUAUUGCUGAUUUCCCUUCAUUCUCCAGGUAGGCUCCUGAUUACCAAUACUUUGAGUUGCUUUGUUCUCCAGGUGGGCUCCUGAUUACCGACACUUAAAUUGUUUCCUUUCCUUAAAACUAGUGUUGUUCUCCCUUGCUCUCCAGGUGGGCACCUGAUUGCCAAAACUUUAACUGUAUUCCCUUGCUUUUCAGGUGGGCGCCUGAUUACCGAAACUUGAACUGUAUUCCCUUGAUCUUCAGGUGGGCGCCUGAUUGCUAAAACUUGAACUGUAUUCCUUUGUUUUCUAGUUGGGUGCCUUAUUGCUAAAACUUGAACUGUAUUCCAUUGUUUUCCAGGUGGGCGCCUGAUUGCCGAAACAUGAACUAUAUUCCCUUACUCUCCAGGUGGGCACCUGAUUGCCGAAACUUGAACGGUAUUCCCUUGCUCUCCAGGUGGGCGCCUGAUUACCAAAACUUGAACUGUAUUCCCUUGCUCUCCAGGUAG
rnacentral:lncRNA from 1 species